GUCUGAAGGUUCAGGACAUCCUGGUGAGGAAGAUAUGGUGACAGGAGCAAGAGGCCGGGUCGCAUCUCAUCUAAGGUAUGCACAGAGAUGCACUUCCAUGGUGAAUCCAAAUCCAGUCAAGAUCAGCCAUCACAGAUUUCCAGGACCAACAAGCCAGCAAACGUGGAGGUCACACCCUGAGGGAAGAGAAUGCACGAUUUCUUGUUUCUUCCUAUGAGAACAGUAAUCUUCCGGUAUAAGACUUCCCAGUAUGUGACCUCUUUGAGCCUGAACUGCCUCCUUUCUGCUCCAUCUCCAAACACAAGGCCAUGGAGCUGCCAAGCCUUCGAUAUAGAGAUUGUAAGGUGACCAUGGUUGCAGAGAGUUCAUGAAUUUGAUGGCCACACUAUGUCCAGAAGGCAUCAUUUCACAGAUGGCGUCCUCUCUUGAAGGCAAGAUUUCUUACACCAAGUUAACAUUAUCCAUCUUCUAAUCUAGAGCAGUGCGAACUUCUCGCCUCAAAGAAACACACCAGUUGUGGUGGUUUAAAUGAGAAAGACUCCCCACAGUCUCAGGCAUCUGUACACUUGGUCCCCAGUUGAUGAUACUAUUUGAGGAAGUUUAUGUGGUGAAAAAGUAUGGCACGAGGGGUGGGCUUUGAGAGUAAAACGCCCCACCUACUUCCUGUUUGCUUUCUCUGCUUCAUCCUUGAGACUUAGAUAUGAGCUCCCAGUUCCUGCUGCUUGCUAUCGUAUCCUCAUAUGAUAGAUUUUUAUCCCUCUGGUUCCAUAAGCAAAAAUAAAUUCCUUCUUACAUAA